CUUGCAACCAUCACUGACCUCCAGCUAGCUUUGUGAAGUAUCCAGCAAUGGUGUAGAAUUUCCCUUACAUGGGUGUAACCAUCUCAGCAUUUUGCUAGCUCAGAGCCCAAGAACCUUAAAGGAAAGCAGCUGCUUAUUUGAAGAUUUGCAUUUCCAUGAGUGAGGAAUUAUGAGCAUGGAAACUAACAGGAAAACAAUGAUACAGCGCCCAACAGAUUCAAAUGGGAGGAAGAAAACUUUGCCAAAAAAUAGGUAAGUAGAUUGCUGUUUAAGGCACCGAUAAGUAACUUCAAUAGAAGUUUUAUUAUUAAUGUGUCCAUGCUCUAAGCAGCAAACAGCAAAAACCAAAUGAAUCUAUUGUGGCUUACAGACUGCUCCCUGAACAGGAAACCACUCAGCUUCAUUGUGUUCAAAAGCUGCUGCUAAAAUAAAUUAUGUUGUAAUUCGAAGAGUGGGGCACUUGAAGCUCAAAGAUUUACACUGCUGUUUCGCAAACUUCGGGUAAUUCCAAGGGUGUUCAGAAAGUAGGUAAUAUAAGAGUGUAUUAAUACAGUCCUAAUAUAAACCUUGGCUGCAUAUUCAUUGAAAAACAGUUAUUGUUUCUGAAUAUUGAGUUAUUCUACUGCACUUACCUGUUCAUGUUGCUGGUCAGGGUGACAUGGGGCCAAGGACCAGCAACUAAAGAGGGUGAUAGUGAGAGAACUAUCAUCCUCAACAGCAGGGUUAGAUCAAGACUUGUCAAUGUGUUUCUUCUGAACUCAGUGUAUCCCACAUAUUCCUACUAGCUGAGUUCCAUCCUAAAGCAGGAUGAAACAAUACCAUGACAGGGCUGAGGGAAAUCGUGAUACUUAUCGGAGCUGGCAGAAUGUGAAAGGAGCCAUGUGCAGUGGCACAGCUACAUGCUAAAAGAGAUUUAGAUCCUAUUUCCCUAAGCAAAAUCAUCCCUCAAACUAUGUUCUGAAGAUGUAAAAGUAUUAAUGAUUGUUGCGAAAUUUGUCUAAAAUCAAUAUUUGCAGUAUCAGUAGCGUUCUACGCAAUGCUCCAAAUUUAAGGCUGUAAGAGAUUACCAAAAAUGAUGAAUUUCUAUGUCUAACAAAUUGUUUUUCAAGUUUAAAUUAUUGUACUUGCAGCUUUCACUUGUUCUAAGUUAGACUGUUUGAAAAGUUUCAUAGAUUAAUGGUAAUUUCUAAUAUUUAAGUGGAUGUUUUUUUAUGUCCUUAGUUCCUGCCCAAGUUUAUUUGCAGAAAUGAAUCUCGAAAUACAUCCAAAAGGUAAAAUUAUUUUAGUACUGAAAAAAGAAGUACUAUAGCAU